UUCACAUCUUACUAGAGUUUACAGGAUAAAGGCUGCAUCAAAAAGUUAAAUGGAGCAGAGGAUGUACAGGCUAGGUGUUGCUUUGUUACAUUGAUCUUACACGGCUACCAUGAAAAUUGGGGUGCUUGAUAUAGCUCGAGAUGAGUUCUUAUGCAGGUACUAUGGAUAUCUGAUGGAGAAGACAAGCACCAUUCAGAAACUAGCAUAUCAGGUUUGAAAGGAGCACAACAAAGAUAAUCGUGAAGUGCAGACGAAGCUGAAAAUACUUGUGAAUUACCCUUUUAAUUGCAAACAAAUAUAUGGACAAAGUUAGACUCCUCUGAUGAUUCUUUGUCCAUUUAACCAUAGAAGCAGAGAAGGAAUCUCAGUCAUCUUGUUUUGGCUGUUUGAUUUUUGGUCCAACAAAGAACUGCAACAGUUCUAUAACACACAGAUAAGUCAAGAAUGUUCAAUCUGUAGCAUGCAUGUAUGCUCCAGUAGCUAACAUUGUGUUGCAAUGCACAUAAUUUAUUACCCAGCUCUGCUGGAGCAUAUAUACCAAAGCUGUACAUACUGUUUUUCCCUUGGCCUGAAAGGAAGAAAAUAAAAGAAGGAUGUGCAGUGCACUUUGGUAUAGAAGAAUGUGCAGGUUCACUGGUUUAGUAUAUACCAAAGCUGCACAUCCUUUGAAUUACACAAAA